UACGUAGGGGGCAAGCGUUGUCCGGAUUUAUUGGGCGUAAAGAGCGUGUAGGCGGCCACACAGGUCAGCUGUGAAAACUCGAGGCUCAACCUCGAGACGUCGGUUGAAACCGUAUGGCUAGAGUCCGGAAGAGGAGAGUGGAAUUCCCGGUGUAGCGGUGAAAUGCGCAGAUAUCGGGAAGAACACCCGUGGCGAAGGCGGCACUCUGGGCCGAUACUGACACUGAGGAGCGAAAGCGUGGGGAGCGAACAGG
rnacentral:rRNA from 1 species